AAAUAAGCUAACGGCGCGGUUACCCUGCACACUGUGGCAUCCGGGAAAGAUGCAGGAGCGACGUGGAGGAGACAUGACUGGUUAGCUGGCUAGUCGACUGGUUAGCUAGCUGCUAACUAUCGCGACUCGAGAGCGAGCGGAUUCGUCAUUUCCAUGAAAGAGUCCCGCCACUGUGGUGUGAACCAUGAACUCGAUGAUCUGGUUCGCCUUCGGGUCCGGAUGCACAGUCGUGUGUAAGCAGUGCAAACAACCCUGGACUGAGUUCACAGCCUUUAGGAGACCCAGUGCUCAGCGUGAUGGAGUUGGAGAUUCGUCAUUUCCAUGAAAGAGUCCCGCCACUGUGGUGUGAACCAUGAACUCGAUGAUCUGGUUCGCCUUCGGGUCCGGAUGCACAGUCGUGUGUAAGCAGUGCAAACAACACUGGACUGAGUUCACAGCCUUUAGGAGACCCAGUGCUCAGCGUGAUGGAGUUGGAGAUUCGUCAUUUCCAUGAAAGAGUCCCGCCACUGUGGUGUGAACCAUGAACUCGAUGAUCUGGUUCGCCUUCGGGUCCGGAUGCACAGUCGUGUGUAAGCAGUGCAAACAACCCUGGACUGAGUUCACAGCCUUUAGGAGACCCAGUGCUCAGCGUGAUGGAGUUGGAGCUGACUGCAGAAUGUUGGAUCCAAACCGGCAUG